AUUGAACGCUGGCGGCAGGCCUAACACAUGCAAGUCGAGCGGGGUUUUCGGACCUAGCGGCGGACGGGUGAGUAAUGCGUAGGAAGCUACCCGAUAGAGGGGGAUACCAGUUGGAAACGACUGUUAAUACCGCAUAACGUCUACGGACCAAAGUGUGGGACCUUCGGGCCACAUGCUAUCGGAUGGGCCUACGUGGGAUUAGCUAGUUGGUGGGGUAAUGGCUCACCAAGGCGACGAUCCCUAGCUGGUUUGAGAGGAUGAUCAGCCACACUGGAACUGAGACACGGUCCAGACUCCUACGGGAGGCAGCAGUGGGGAAUAUUGGACAAUGGGCGCAAGCCUGAUCCAGCCAUGCCGCGUGUGUGAAGAAGGCCUUCGGGUUGUAAAGCACUUUCAGUAGGGAGGAAGAGUUGAGUGUUAAUAGUACUCAGCUUUGACGUUACCUACAGAAGAAGCACCGGCUAACUCUGUGCCAGCAGCCGCCGUAACAC
rnacentral:rRNA from 1 species